rnacentral:rRNA from 1 species
AGUUUGAUUAUGGCUCAGAUUGAACGCUGGCGGGAUGCUUUACACAUGCAAGUCGAACGGCAGCACGGACUUCGGUCUGGUGGCGAGUGGCGAACGGGUGAGUAAUGGUAUCGGAACGUGCCUAGUAGCGGGGGAUAACUACGCGAAAGCGUAGCUAAUACCACCUACGUCGGGGGAAAGCGGGGGACCUUCGGGCCUCGCACUAUUAGAGCGGCCGAUAUCGGAUUAGCUAGUUGGUGGGGUAACGGCUCACCAAAGGCGACGAUCCGUAGCUGGUUUUAGGACGACCAACCACUGGGACUGGGGCCUGACCCAGACUCCUACAAGGAGGCAGCAGUGGGGGAAUUUUGGACAAUGGGAAACCCUGAUCCAGCCAUCCCGCGUGUGCGAUGAAGGCCUUCGGGUUGUAAAGCACUUUUGGCAGGAAAGAAACGGCACGGGAUAAUACCCCGUGCAACUGACGGUACCUGCAGAAUAAGCACCGGCUAACUACGUGCCAGCAGCGGUAUUACGUAGGGUGCAAGCGUUAAUCGGAAUUACUAUGGGCGUAAAGCGUGCGCAGGCGGUUCGGAAAGGAAAGAUGUGAAAUCCCGAAACUCAACUUUGGAACUGCAUUUUUAACUACCGAGCUAGAGUGUGUCAGAGGGGAGGUGGAAUUCCCGCGUGUAGCAGUGAAAUGCGUAGAUGUGCGAAGGAACACCGAUGGCGAAGGCAGCCUCCUGGGAUAACACUGACGCUCAUGCACGAAAGCGUGGGAGCAAACGGGAUUGAAAUGCCCUGGUAGUCCACGCCCUAAGCUUGAUGUCAACUAGCUGUUGGGGCCUUCGGGCCUUAUUACUUUAAGCUAACGCGUGAAGUUGACCGCCUGGGGAGUACGGUCGCAAGAUUAAAACUCAAAGGAAUUGACGGGGACCCGCACAAGCGGUGGAUGAUGUGGAUUAAUUCGAUGCAACGCGAAAAACCUUACCUACCCUUGACAUGUCUGGAAUCCCGAAGAGAUUUGGGAGUGCUCGCAAGAGAACCGGAACACGGAGUGUACUGUGUCAAUGGUACUCGUGUCGUGAGAUGUUGGGUUAAGUCCCGCAACGAGCGCAACCCUUGUCGGUAGUUGCUACGAAAGGGCACUCUAAUGAGAUUGCCGGUGACAAACCGGAGGAAGGUGGGGAUGACGUCAAGUCCUCAUGGCCCUUAUGGGUAGGGCUUCACACGUCAUACAAUGGUCAGGACAGAGGGUCGCCAACCCGCGAGGGCCAAUCCCAGAAACCCGAUCGUAGUCCGGAUCGCAGUCUGCAACUCGACUGCGUGAAGUCGGAAUCGCUAGUAAUCGCGGAUCAGCAUGUCGCGGUGAAUACGGUUUUCCCGGGUCUUGUACACGCCCGUCACACCAUGGGAGUGGGUUUUACCAGAAGUGAUUAGCUAACCGUAAGGAAGACAGUGCGGUAGGAUUCGCCGACUGGGGUGAAGUCGUAACAAGGUAG